rnacentral:lncRNA from 1 species
AGGUAAAAGGCCUCUAAUACAUGGCAUAUGAGAUGAACAAGCGAGGAUCAAAAGAUCUCUUCAAUUGCCAUAAGCAAUCCCUAAGUCAAACAUCGAUCAUAAAGAAGUCAACUGAAAAUUCAAGUCAAUUUAAAAAAUAACAAAUAAAUAGCAAAUUCAUCAAAAAAAUUAUGAAAAUUUAAACUAAAUGAGGCGGGGUCAGGACAUCAUCA